UAGAAGAUCUCAUUCCGACUAGCACCGGCAUCUAGAGAGGUUCUCUUUUGUGGCCGCGCAUAUCAAAAUACAUAAUUACAGUAAACAUACCAAAGGCAUGUUCUUUUGAUAUAUUGGGCGUUAAAGGCGGCACAGCAUUGUAAUUAAAUUGACCAUAAAACAUGUAUGAAAUGUAAUUUUAUUAAUCUUUAAAUUAAAAAAACUUUAAAAAUUAAAAAUUAAAAUAUUUAUUAAAAUUUAUUUUCUUGUGAAUUCUUGGUUAGGGAUAUGUCAAUGUGCGGACAUAUCCCAUACUUUUUGCCUUCCAUAAUCUCUUUGAUUUGGACCAGAAUUGUGUCUUGCCGCAUGAGCAGCUGCUGCUGCUGCAUGAGCAUCUGCUCCAUAUUUAUUGUUGUUUGUGGUGGAGCUGACAAAGGGGAAGAUGUGGUGGAGACAGGGGAGGCAGAGGUUGCUGCAUGCAAUGAAAAAACAGCAAAAUAUUUAAAAAUGAUGGCAUCCUUGCUUUUAACUGAAUCUUACCAUUGUGGUCACGCCACCAAUACUUUUUCACAAGGGGCCAGAUGAAAUAUUUUAUGGCUAUCAUCAGUAAGAGGCCGAAAGUGCCUUGCAAGAAUGUUAUUUCUUAUUUUUUUUUCAAAACGUCGGCCACAUCACCAGAAAACUUAUCAGAAAUACGUGUCUUACCUUUCCCAAAGUAGUUUGGGUUGCCACAUCGUAUUAGUAAACUACAACAUGGAAGAAAAUAAGUAAAGGGGACUAUGGUACAAUGGCAAGUUAACUAAAGUGGAUCUUCAGUCCCGAACCAAAAGAAAGAUUACUUAGACGCUCAUGCAAGAUUAUUUCGAUUAUGAAAAAUGAACUGCCAUAUGUGAGAUGAAAUAUAAUGAGAUGAAAUGAAUGAAUUAUGAAUGAAUGAAAUAUACGACAACAACAAACAAAUACUUUUCAAAAUUUUUAUUUAGAUAAGGAACCUCGAUUGCAAUCCACCUUCAAGAAAAUACACACGGAAUGUUUGAACAUUGAUAUCAUCUUGCAUCUCAGUCGUGUGAUGGCCCCAUCAUUGGGGACUGGCUCCCGGGCAGAUCUUGCUCUUCCUCAAUUUUUCUGGCUAAUUGAGAUAGCACCACCUGCACUUCUUUCUGUAAAUAAUCAACACGAUAAAUUAAAAUGUUUUUUGGGCAAUGAAGGGGGAUUGGGUAAGGUGAUAACUUACCACAGUCAGUGACACCUGCUUGCCUCCUGAAAGCUUGUCUUCUUGAAUUUAAAUUUUGAUCUCUCCUCGUGCUCACACCAACACCUGGCUCUCUUUUGCCUACCAGCUUCGUCAAAAGAGUUUCCCAUUUCGAGAUCAUCCUGCGGUUUCUUUGCAGGUUACUUGAACCCUGCAUGAGAAAAAAGAUUUGGAAAAAAGAUUUUAAAAUUUUUUAAAAUUUAGGGCACAAAUAAGGAUACUUACUCUUUGGUUUUGGCCAAUUGCCAAUCCCAUUUUUCACGCAGGACAUACUGCAACGGGGGCCAAAUUACAGAUUUUGCCACAGCAACAGCAGCCAAACCCAGAAUGCCUUCCCCAGAAUGCCUCCAGUUCUGAAUCCAUUGCUGUUAAAAUUGCUGUUAAAAAACGAGUGCGACUGAUGGGAAGGAGUAACGUCAACGUGGUCGGUGAGAGAAAGAGAAAGAAGCGGGAAGACGAAUGAACAGUCCAAGAUUUUACUUUUAGCCUGCGACGUUUUCAGAUAUGGCAAAGUGAUCUAUUUGAUAAAGAACAUUUCUUAUUUUAUAUUUCGGUCAAAUGGAAGGGUCAUGGACGUUCAGGCCCCUGCUUUCAGGCCCACUUUAAAGUGGGCCUGAACGUCUAGUUGUUGGGCCUGAACGUCCAAAAUUUUAAAUAUUUAUUUUUCAGGACAGUGGCGCUAGUAAGCCUGUUUCCGGCAUGUUUACUUGCAAUUCGGUAGGGCGUACACGCAGCUCUA
rnacentral:lncRNA from 1 species